GUGCUCACUUUGGCAGCACAUAUACUAAAAUUAGAAUUAUGCAGAGAAAAUUCGCAUGGCCUUUGCAAGGAUGACAUGCGAAUGUGUGGAGUGUUUCAUAUUUUU
ensembl:snRNA U6 U6 spliceosomal RNA